rnacentral:rRNA from 1 species
UACAGGGGGUGCAAACGUUGCUCGGAAUCAUUGGGCGUAAAGCGCACGUAGGCGGUUCGUUAUGUCGGAUGUGAAGCCCUUGGCUUAACCGAGGAAGUGCAUCCGAAACUGGCGAGCUAGAGUACUAAAGAGGAUCGCGGAAUUCCCGGUGUAGAGGUGAAAUUCGUAGAUAUCGGGAGGAACACCGGUGGCGAAGGCGGCGAUCUGGGUAGAUACUGACGCUGAGGUGCGAAAGCGUGGGGAGCAAACAGGG